AGUAAAAUGUUUGAUGUGAGAAGAAGGUAAGGGUGAAAAAAUGGAGUAUAAGAGUAGAAUAUGAUGGAGUUGUUGUUCACUAUCUCAGUGUCAUAUUCAUCCAUUACACUCUCAUGCUCUCACCUCCCAAUGGAUCCUCCUCUCAUAUCUGACUCCACAUUCUCCUCCGCUUACACCCUCGCCGAUAUUUGGCUCGGAACAACUCCCGCUUUUCCCCCUUCCGACCACCACUUCUCCAAGAAUGACUCUGGUAGCAAUAAACGGAUGAAGGUGGAAGGGUGCAGUGUUAAAAAUGAUGGUUUCAAAGAUGAAGCAGAAACAAGUUCUGUGAGUUGUAACAAGUCAAGUGAACAAAGCACUAUGCCUUGUGAGGCACCUAAGCAAGACUACAUUCACGUGAGAGCAAGAAGGGGCCAAGCUACCGAUAACCACAGUCUAGCAGAAAGAGCAAGAAGAGAAAAGAUCAGUGAGAGAAUGAGAAUUCUCCAGGAUUUGGUUCCAGGGUGUAACAAGGUAAUUGGUAAAGCACUAGUCCUAGAUGAGAUAAUCAAUUACAUACAGUCGCUGCAGCGUCAGGUUGAGUUCCUUUCUAUGAAGCUUGAAGCAGUUAAUUCAAGGAUGAACAUGAGCCUUAACACAGAUGGGUUUCCUUUAAAAGAUUUGGCAAAGCUUAAUUGAAGUCAAGUUGGUAUGGAAGAAGCAGAGAGGGAGAAAAGAGAAGAAGGGAAUUAUUGAUGGAGGAAUGCAGAACCAGUUUUGAUCUGGGAAACGAAUAGAUCAUAAUGGGAAAACCGAUGAUAAUGGCAGUGCAUAGUAAUCCAUAAUUGGGAUAAAAACAGCUUUGUUAUAAAGCAAUCUAAUGGCUGUAGUAUCAUCAUAUCUUAUCCUCCUCAAUAACUGAAGGCCAAUCAGCAGAAAGGAAGGAUUGAAUCAACAUAUAAUUACCCUGAUCUUGUCUCCCAUUUAACAUCCAGUUUAGAUGGAACAACAUUUUGAAGUUCAACCUUCAUGAAAUACAUUGGAAUGUGCAAAAGUGAAAUUGGGAUUUCGGGACUCACAAAUAUAAUGUAUGUGGCAAGAUCUGUAUCAAGCUACAUUAGGCUAAAUCCUCAGUAAUUCACUCUAUCAAACUCCAAAUUUAGCACUAUUAUAAACUCGACUUGAACAUAUUUAGGGAAUGUGACCUUAAUUUUCACCAGAUUUAGAGUUCAAUUCUACUUUUCAUUGUGAUUUCAUAAAUCAUAAUUGUAGUUAUUGGUGUACCAAUCAUGAUCAUGAGUAAAAACUAGUGGAAACUAUAGAUCUCACAUAGUUUUGGUAGAACGGCCUGUUGCUUGAUUUCAAUUUCUUAAGAGGUUUAGUCACUGAAUCCACCAUAUAACCAAAUUACACAAGCACUAGUCCAAACCAAUUCUCAAUGAAAAUGAUUGCCAGUGCUUAUCUCAAAGAUGAAUAUUGUCAAUCGGAACUAUAUUUUCUUGUGUCUCUAUUUGUAUCUAUACCAAAUUAGUUAGGCCUAAAACAUUUUUUCGUAAAGAAUGUAGUUAUUGUGGAACUGUUUGUUCCCAUAAUAUCAUGAUCUUGA